rnacentral:rRNA from 1 species
UUAGUUGAGGAUUUUGGUCAUGGCUCAGAUUGAACGGGGGGGGCAGGCUUAACACAUUCAAGUCGAGCGGGGGAGGUUGUUUCGGUAACUGACCUAGCGGCGGACGGGUGAGUAAUGUUUAGGAAUCUGCCUAUUAGUGGGGGACAACAUUCCGAAAGGGAUGCUAAUACCGCAUACGCCCUACGGGGGAAAGCAGGGGAUCUUCGGACCUUGCGCUAAUAGAUGAGCCUAAGUCGGAUUAGCUAGUUGGUGGGGUAAAGGCCUACCAAGGCGACGAUCUGUAGCGGGUUUGAGAGGAUGAUCCGCCACACUGGGACUGAGACACGGCCCAGACUCCUACGGGAGGCAGCAGUGGGGAAUAUUGGACAAUGGGCGGAAGCCUGAUCCAGCCAUGCCGCGUGUGUGAAGAAGGCCUUUUGGUUGUAAAGCACUUUAAGCGAGGAGGAGGCUCUUAAGGUUAAUACCAUGAUGAGUGACGUACCCGCAGAUGAUGG